rnacentral:rRNA from 1 species
GGCAGUCCUUAAAAUCAGUGGCAGUGCCUGCCGGCUCUAAGCGUAGUAAUUUCUCUCGCUAUAGGGCCCGGUGGAACACGCGCCAGAACCCCCAACUUUCUAUGGUUGACCUCGGAUCAGGUAGGGAUACCCGCUGAACUUAAGCAUAUCAAUAAGCGGAGGAAAAGAAACCAACAGGGAUUGCCUCAGUAACGGCGAGUGAAGCGGCAACAGCUCAAAUUUGAAAUCUGGCUUUUCGGAGCCCGAGUUGUAAUUUGUAGAGGAUGUUUCGGGUACCGCAACGACUUAAAUUUCUUGGAACAGAAUGUCAGAGAGGGUGAGAGUCCCGUCUGGAGUCGCGGUAGGGCCCAUGUGAAACUCCCUCGACGAGUCGAGUUGUUUGGGAAUGCAGCUCAAAAUGGGUGGUAAAUUUCAUCUAAAGCUAAAUAUUGGCCAGAGACCGAUAGCGCACAAGUAGAGUGAUCGAAAGAUGAAAAGCACUUUGAAAAGAGAGUUAAACAGUAUGUGAAAUUGUUGAAAGGGAAGCGCUGGCAACCAGACUUGCGUGCGGGGGUUCCCCCUGGCUUCUGCCUGGGCUACUCCCCCGUAUCCAGGCCAACAUCGGUUUGGGUGGUCGGUUAAAGGCCUUGGGAAUGUAUCUUCCCCCGGGAAGACUUAUAGCCCUCGGUGUCAUGCGGCCUACCCGGACCGAGGAACGCGCUUCGGCUCGGACGUUGGCGUAAUGGUUGUCAGCGACCCGUCUUGAAACACGGACCAAAGGACAUUCUAAGAAAC